rnacentral:rRNA from 1 species
UACGAAGGGGGGCUAGCGUUGCUCGGAAUCACUGGGCGUAAAGGGUGCGUAGGCGGGUCUUUAAGUCAGGGGUGAAAUCCUGGAGCUCAACUCCAGAACUGCCUUUGAUACUGAAGAUCUUGAGUUCGGGAGAGGUGAGUGGAACUGCGAGUGUAGAGGUGAAAUUCGUAGAUAUUCGCAAGAACACCAGUGGCGAAGGCGGCUCACUGGCUCGGUACUGACGCUGAGGUGCGAAAGCGUGGGGGAGCAAACAGG